rnacentral:tRNA from 1 species
GCGGAUAUGGCGGAAUUGGCAGACGCGCCAGAUUUAGGUUCUGGUGGGCAACCCCCGUGCAGGUUCAAGUCCUGUUAUCCGCACCA